CAUAUUGACUUUCUCUCGCCCUACUUCUAAGGAUAGAUAGAAAAGGUUGGAGAGAGUAACUUUCUGAAAUUCUCUCCUUUCUAAAGCUGCGCAAGGCGGCCCCCCCAGAACAAAACCCCACCCUUUCCCCCUUUUUAAUGAAAGACCCUCGCCCCGCUUCCUAUUCAUUUGUGGGUCGGGACCGAGGGCCUUUUUUUUUUCUCAACAGGUGAUUUCAAGAAUCAACCAACCGACAAAUCCGUAGCCCAGGUGACUCACAGCCUCCCUCUCGCCUAAAUGAAGUGGGAUGAAUCCAAUCAAUAAGCUUUUU
rnacentral:lncRNA from 1 species